UACGGGGGGGGCAAGCGUUGUUCGGAAUCACUGGGCGUAAAGGGUGCGUAGGCGGGUCUUUAAGUCAGGGGUGAAAUCCUGGAGCUCAACUCCAGAACUGCCUUUGAUACUGAGGAUCUUGAGUACGGGAGAGGUGAGUGGAACUGCGAGUGUAGAGGUGAAAUUCGUAGAUAUUCGCAAGAACACCAGUGGCGAAGGCGGCUCACUGGCCCGGUACUGACGCUGAGGUGCGAAAGCGUGGGGAGCAAACAGGG
rnacentral:rRNA from 1 species